UGGUUUUCUCCUUGGUGUGUGAGUUUGUUUGGUGCUCUCCCUUUCUCCUUCGCCAUUUGAAUAGUGAUGUCAUUAUUCCAACGUCCUCUCACCUCUACUGAAAAAGGCCUACCAGUGACUCUCUCCUGGGUACUCAGCAACACUCUGGAGGGAAGUUGUGGUUUCAGCAAGGUGCAAGCAUCAUGAAACCGAGAGAGAACUGGCAGGGUGGAGAACUCACCCAAAGAGCCUCGCACCAACGUUCCCUCUGCUUGGAAUGCUCUUCCCUCAGUCACCCAAGUUCAUCCCUUGCUGCCUUCAAGUCUCUGCUCACAUGUCACCUUUCCUGCAAGGCCAUGCCUGCCCACCCCUUUUAAAGCCGCAGCCCUUCCAGGCAUGCCAUCCUUCUUGCUUGCUAUAGGUUUUUCCAUUGCACUGAUCACCUUACAAAUGGGUUUAUUUAUUGUAUAAUUUUCUCUUCCCACUAGAGUGUAAGAGCUACAGGAAAGGGAUAUUUUUGUUUUGUUCACUGAUAUUUCCCACUGCCUAGUGCUCAAAAAAUAUUUGCUGAAUAAGUGAAUAAAUCAGUAUCAUACUGUCCCCAACUUGCUCAUCUUACCUCUAUUUUGUAACUGAUCUAUGUAACCACCACUUAGCUGACAUCCUAGUGUCAGAACCCAAACUUGAGUCUUCCCUUUCUCUGUCUUUUUUAUUUUUUGAGAUGGGGUCUCACUUCUCACUAUGUUGCCUAGGCUGGACUUGAACUCCUGGGCUCGGGCGAUCCUCCCACCUCAGCCUCCCAAGUAGCUGGGACUAUAGGUAGGCACCAUUGCACCCAGCUUCUCUCUUUCACAGCUUUAUUGAGAUAUAAUUCACAUAAAAUAGAAUUUAUCCAUUUAAAGAGUACAAUUCAAUGGGUUUUGGUAUAUCAUAGUUACGCAAACAACACUGCAACAAUCUUUGAAUAUUUUCUUUCUUUCUUUUUUUUUUUUUUUUUUUGAGACAGCUUCUUGCUCUGUCACCCAGGCUGCAGUGCACUGGCGCAAUCUCGGCUCACUGCAACCUCCGCCUCUCAGGCUCAAACGAUUCUCCUGCCUCAGCCUCCUGAGUAGCUGGGAUUACAGACACAUGCAACUACACCCAGCUAAUUUUUUGUAUUUUCAGUAGAGAUGGGAUUUCACUAUGUUAGCUAGGCUGGUCUCUAACUCCUGAGCUCAGGUGAUCUGCCUGCCUCGGCCUCCCAAAGUGCUAGGAUUACAGGCACGAGCCAUUGUGCCCAGCCCAAAUAUUUUCAUUAUCCUCGAAGAAACCCCAUAUUCCUUAAACAUCGCCCUCCAGCUCCCCCACCCCCACCGCCAUUUCUCCUCAUCUCUGGCAACUACUGAUCUAUGUGCUGACUCCAUGGGUUCUCCUGUUCUGGACAUUUCAUGUCAAUGGACUCAUACAACAUUCUUCACUGGCUUCUUUGACUUAGCACACUGUGUUCCAGGUUCAUCCAUGUUUUUGCCUAUAUUAGUAUUGCAUUAUUUUUAUAGCCAAAUACUAUUCCAUUGCAUACAGGCACAGCAUUCUGUUUAUCCAUGUAUCACUUGAUGGGCAUUUGGGUUACUUCCAGUUUGGGGCUACUAUAAAAAUGCUGCUUUGGGCUGGGCGCAGUGGCUCACACCUGUAAUCCCAGAACUUUGGGAGUCUGAGGUGGGCGGAUCACUUGAAGCCAGAAGUUCAAGACCAGCCUGGCUAACAUGGUGAAACCCUGUCUUUACUAGAAAUACAAAAAUUAGCUGGGUGUGGUGGUGCGUGCCUGUAAUUCCAGCUACUCAGGAGGCUGAGGCACAAGAAUCACUUGAGGUUGCAGUGAGCGGAGAUCAGACCACUGAACUCCAGCCUGGGUGACAGAGCCAGACUCUGUCCCCCUGCCUCAAAAAAAAAAAAAAGAAAAGAAAAGAAAAAAAACCGCUGCUCUGAACAUGCUUGUCCAUGUUCUUGGGUGGACAUAUGCUUUCAUUUCUCCUGGGCAUGAACCUGGGAGUGGGGCUGCUGGAUCAUCUGGUUACUCUGUGUGUAACCUUUUGAGGACCUGCCACUUUUUUUUUUUUCGUUUUCUCUAUGAAUCCACAUCCAACUCAUAAGUAUGGGCUGUGUUUCUCCCUCCUGAAUCUGUGCUCACUUGCAUCUGCACGGAAACCACCUCUUCAGUUCAUACCUGGAAGGCUACAGUGCCUGCUAAUGGGGAUCCCUCUCCACUUGGUCACCCUCGCCUGCACAGGGGAAGGAGUUUCCCCUUCUUGAUGCUGAGGCCACACCCCGGCCCAUUCAGGGUUGCCUCUGGAGGUGGGACCCAGGCAUCAGUGCUUCCCAGAGCUCCCCGGGUGAUUACGACGCACAGCCAAGCACCCGCUUCCUUCUGAUCCACAUUUUAUCACCUGCCACCCAAGUGCCUCCAUGACAGCAAAUCUGAUUGUGUGAUCUGGAUUCUUCUUAAAACCCCUGUGUGGCUCUCCACGGUCUCCACAAUAAAAUCCAAGCUCCCCAGGAUGCACAUGCAUCUCGGUGACCUGUGUCCACUGCCACCCGUCUUGCCUCCUUCCUCUCCCUGACCCACGCUGCACAUGCCACGCUGAGCUCCAUGUGCCUGCCCAUCCACACCUCCACGCCUUGGGACAGACUGGUCCCUCUUCCUGAAGUGCCUGUUCCCAUCUUUCAUCCUCCUCUAGGAAGUCUUCCCUGACUGCUCUCCCUCAGCGGGCUGUAACUGUGUUCACUGGCCUCUAGUCCAGGAGCGCCUCAAGGCCAGGGCUGGGAUAUCACUCUUCUCUGGAUCCUCAGCCUGUAGCUGCCUGACUCAUGGAACCAUUUGAGGUAGGCCCCCAAGUUACAGAUGGGGAAACUGAGGCCCAGAGAGGUUAAAAUACUUGUGCAGAAUCACACAGCUGGCUGAUGACAGAAGCACGACGCAAACUGAGGCCUCCCAAGACUUUCUGCACCAGGACCAGCCAGCCAUGCUGUUACCUACUCAUUCAACAAACAGCUGUGGAGUAUUGACUCUAACGUCAGUCCCUGCCUGGGCCCCUGAGAGACAGUCAUCAGGGAGAUCAUCUAUGAAGACACAAUAAUGGAAAUAGAUUCCAUCUCAGGAAAGCACUUUCUUUGUUCAUCUAUGAGAAGACAUUCUUUCAAGUUUGACCAUGAGAUUGCAGCAAUUCAGUCACAUCUUCAGGCUCCACUUCUAAUUCUAGCUCUCUUGCUACUGGCCACCACAUCUGCAGCCUCCAUCAAAGUCUUGAAUCUCUCAGUCAUCCAUGAAGGACAGAAUCAACUUCUUUUCAAAUUCCCGUUCAUGUUGAUAUUUUGACCUCCUCCCAUAAAACACAAAUGUUCUUAAUGGUACCUAGAAUGGUGAAUUCUUUCCAGAAAGUUUUCAAUGUACUUUGCCCAGAUCCAUCAGAGGAAUCACCCUCUAUAUAGCAGCCAUAGCCUUUCAAAAUGUAUUUCUUAAAUAAUAAGACUUUUAUAUCAAAUUGUCUCCUGGAUCCACGGACUGCAGGAUGGAUGUUGUGUUAGCAGGCACGAAAAGAACAUUUUCUUAUACAUCUUCAUCAGAGCUCCUAGGUGACUAUGUGCAUUGUCAAAGGGUUACUAAUUGGCCUACAUUCAAUAUUGCUGUGUCUUAAGGAAUAGGGAGGCCUGAGGAGAGUAGAGAGAGAUGAGGGAACAGCCAGCUAGUACAGCAGUCAGAACACUUACAACAUUUAUUAACUUCACCUCAUAGUAAUAUCAAAGGUCACUGAUCAUACAUAACCAUAACAGAUAUAAUAAUGAAAAUGUGUGAAAUAUUAUGAGAAUUUUAAAAAGGGACAAAGAGCCACUAAGUGAGCACAUGCUGUUGGAAAAAUGAAACUGAUAGACUUGCUUACUCCAGGGUUGCCACAAACCUUCAAUUUGGUAAAAAAAAAAAAAAAACCAUGCAAUUCCUGUCAAGUACAAUAAAUAGGAGCCCAAUAAAAUGAGAUAUGCUUAAGAAAAAAAAGAUAUGCUUAUACAUCUUACUACAAUUAAGUACAGUCUAGCAAGAUAAAGAUAGUAAGCCCUACAACAACCACUAAGAAAAUAACCCAAGAAAAAUCGUUUUAAAAAUCAUAAAGAAGGCCAGGCCAGUGAGCCAAACACCUGUACUUCCCAGCACUUUGGGAGACUGAAGCAGGAGGAUAGCUUGAGCCCAGGAGUUUGACACCAGCCUGGGCAACAUAACCCGUCACUGCAAACAAGAAAAAACUUAGGCAUGAUGGCAUGUUGUUGCGGGAAUUCAGGGACCCCGAACGGAGGGACCGGCUGAAGCCAUGGCAGAAGAACAUAAAUUGUGA
rnacentral:lncRNA from 1 species